CUAAGAAUAUUCCGCAAUGGACGAAAGUCUGACGGAGCGACGCCGCGUGGAUGAAGAAGGCCGAAAGGUUGUAAAAUCCUUUUGCUGAUGAAGAAUAAGUGCGGGAGGGAAUGCCCGUAUGAUGACAUUAGUCGGUGAAUAAGCCCCGGCUAACUACGUGCCAGCAGCCGCGGUAACACGUAGGGGGCAAGCGUUGUUCGGAAUUAUUGGGCGUAAAGGGCAUGUAGGCGGUUUCGUAAGCCUGGUGUGAAAUCCUGCAGCUUAACUGUAGAAUUGUAUCGGGUACUGCGAGACUUGAAUCACAGAGGGGAAACUAGAAUUCCAGGUGUAGGGGUGGAAUCUGUGGAUAUCUGGAAGAAUACCGGUGGCGAAGGCGGGUUUCUAGCUGAUGAUUGACGCUGAGGUGCGAAAGUGCGGGGAGCAAACAG
rnacentral:rRNA from 1 species